ACUGAUAGAGAGUGUAAAUCAACCUCAGCAGCUUGAGUAGAGGCCCCAUAAGCACAUAUAUAACAACACGUGGAUGCCAAAUUUUCUACCCAUGUGAGCUUUUAGAAUUCGCACAGUGAUUAAUAUGCUUGGAGAGAAGUAUGAGAAGACGUCUCAGUACAAGUUAAGUCCUGAUGGGAGGAACGAUAAAAGCCAAGGUAUGUAUUGGCCUGUCUACUCACCAGGAGUAUAUUAGAUGGUCUACAAGAACAGAUUACAAAGAGAGGUGAGCAGAUCCUCUCCCUCCUUCAGCACCUACCAGAAAAUGUGCUUUUCAGAGAUUAAUCUACGGGAUCAGUAAUUUAUUUAGCUUUUACCUAGUGCAUGGUCCCAUUUGGAAAUGAAACAAAAACAAGAAUGAUGGAAACUGACUUGGGCAAAACUGAACAAGCACUUCAGGAAGUCUCUCUUCCUAAAGCACAAUGGACCUUUCCUUCACUGGGAAUGAGAACACGGUACUGAGAUCUCUGCUGUGGCCUGGGAAAGCAGCAGAAGAUGGCCCAAGUCCUUGGUCCCCUGCAUCCACAUGGGAAACCUGAAAGAAGCACCUGGCUCCUGGCUUCGGAACGGUGCAGCUCCAGCAGUUGUGGCCCUCUGGGGAGUGAACCAAUGGAUGGAAGAUCUUUCUCUUUCUCUCUCACUGUCUGUAACUCUACCUCUCAAAUAAAUAAAUAAAAUCUUUAAAAAACUUAAAUAAAACAGCUGAAAGUUC